rnacentral:rRNA from 1 species
GACGAACGCUGGCGGCGUGCUUAACACAUGCAAGUCGAACGGAAAGGCCGCGCCGUUGGGGGGUCCUCGACUGGCGAACGGGUAACUAACACGCGAGUUACCUUCCGCUGUCGUAUGGCUCCAUUCAAGUAACUCGGGUUCAUACUAGGUACGAUGUCCUCCUGCACUGGGGGGGUUGGGAUGUUUCGGCGGUUGGGGAGGGACUCGCGGCUUAUCAGCUUGUUGGUGGGGUAGUGGCCUACCAAGGCUUUGACGGGUAGCCGGCCUGAGAGGGUGACCGGCCACAUUGGGACUGAGAUACGGCCCAGACUCCUACGGGAGGCAGCAGUGGGGAAUAUUGCACAAUGGGCGGAAGCCUGAUGCAGCAACGCCGCGUGCGGGAUGACGGCCUUCGGGUUGUAAACCGCUUUCGCCUGUGACGAAGCGUGAGUGACGGUAAUGGGUAAAGAAGCACCGGCUAACUACGUG